rnacentral:rRNA from 1 species
GACGAACGCUGGCGGCGUGCUUAACACAUGCAAGUCGAACGGAAAGGCCCUGCUUUUGUGGGGUGCUCGAGUGGCGAACGGGUGAGUAACACGUGAGUAACCUGCCCUUGACUUUGGGAUAACUUCAGGAAACUGGGGCUAAUACCGGAUAGGAGCUCCUGCUGCAUGGUGGGGGUUGGAAAGUUUCGGCGGUUGGGGAUGGACUCGCGGCUUGUCAGCUUGUUGGUGGGGGAGUGGCUUACCAAGGCUUUGGCGGGUAGCCGGCCUGAGAGGGUGACCGGCCACAUUGGGACUGGGCUACGGCCCAGACUCCUACGGGAGGCAGCAGUGGGGAAUAUUGCACAAUGGGCGGAAGCCUGAUGCAGCAACGCCGCGUGCGGGAUGACGGCCGUCGGGUUGUAAACCGCUUUCGCCUGUGACGAAGCGUGAGUGACGGUAAUGGGUAAAGAAGCACCGGCUAACUACGUG